AAAUUGGACGGGGGCCCGCACGAAAGCGGGUGGAGCAUGUGGUUUAAUUCGAAGCAACGCGAAGAACCUUUACCAGGUCUUGACAUCCCGAUGCUAUUUCUAGAGAUAGAAAGUUACUUCGGUACAUCGGUGACAGGUGGUGCAUGGUUGUCGUCAGCUCGUGUCGUGAGAUGUUGGGUUAAGUCCCGCAACGAGCGCAACCCCUAUUGUUAGUUGCCAUCAUUCAGUUGGGCACUCUAGCGAGACUGCCGGUAAUAAACCGGAGGAAGGUGGGGAUGACGUCAAAUCAUCAUGCCCCUUAUGACCUGGGCUACACACGUGCUACAAUGGUUGGUACAACGAGUUGCGAGUCGGUGACGGCGAGCUAAUCUCUUAAAGCCAAUCUCAGUUCGGAUUGUAGGCUGCAACUCGCCUACAUGAAGUCGGAAUCGCUAGUAAUCGCGGAUCAGCACGCCGCGGUGAAUACGUUCCCGGGCCUU
rnacentral:rRNA from 1 species